rnacentral:misc_RNA from 1 species
UGGGUCAAUCUUCGGAUUGGCCCUUUCU